rnacentral:lncRNA from 1 species
AUGAGUCUGCAGAAAUGUACAGUUCUGCCCUGCUUUUUUUUGCUUACUUCAAGAGUUCUGAGUGAGGCUUUUUGGCUGGAGGUGGACGGGGAUGGAGCAGAGGGGGAAUAUAACUGCCCACAAACUGGAGGACUUCCCUCCCUCUUCCAGGGUCGGACAGGAAAAUUGGCUUCGGAUCACCCUUGGCAGCAAGCCCUCCCUCAUGGAGUUCUGCACGGAUCGCUAGGUUUCCACCGACAAACUGAACACGGAGGCAACGGGGGCAGAUGGAAAUCGAGUCUUGGCUUUAUGAGCGCCUUGAAGCGCUCUCCGAUUCAAAAGCUCAUUAAAAACUGA